rnacentral:lncRNA from 1 species
GUAAACAUUAUAACCAGAGAGACACCUGUCGCUUUUUUCGAACACCUACUGAUCCAAAGGUGCAAAAAAUAUGGAUUAGGAAUGUAAGGAGAGAUGAUAUUCAAAUUUCGAAAAAUCAUGUGAUAUGCCAGUGCCAUUUCAGAGAUGGAUUAAAAGAAAAUGGGCCAACGCUUUUUGAGCACAAUAAGGAUAAGAUUUUUAGAUUUCCAUCUUCUGAAAAAGCU